UUAUCAACUUUCUCGCAUUCGUAUGUAUAUGCAUAUAUGUAUUCUCCGUAUAAGAGAAUUACGGUAAAUAUAGCAAAGAUCGUAAAAUGAGAAUCGUCAAGUUUGUAACAAAGGGAGAAGCGGACGAUUCGUAUGGUGUAAAAUAACGUAGUCGGAUCUCAGCUGUCACGGUGCAGUAAAACCGAAGCGGGUAUUUUGUCAUCAGCUGAGAGACGCCUGGUGACGAAACGAUCGAGAGAGAAGGCGCGCGUGCGCACAUUCGAAGCCGGUGGCAAGAAGCAAGAAGGCGGUAGGCAGUGGAAGGGGCGAGUCUAGCGGCGGGGAGGUAACGAGGUUCUCAAAGGAGAAAGAGAGACGGAGUUUCUCGUGUACGUGUGUGGGUCGUUAUUAUGCAUGUAUAUUUCAUGGUGGCUCGAUCGAACGAAUCUCUCCGUCCACGCAAUGUUUUUAUUUUCCCGGCGCUGUCAGUGUGCGAUGAUAUAAUGUUUCGGAUAUUUGGUACACGUACAUAUAGAUGGCGUUGCGACGCGCGCGGAAAGGGGCUUUCGGACGGAGAAGGAGAAACUCCCGGAAAAAAAACGCCGGCAGCGUGCAGCAUUGUUGUUCAGCUGACGAUGCGCGGCGGCCAUCUUGUAUCAGCUGGAGGGCGUCGAUGACGACACAAAGAAGAGUGGAAUUUCUACGCGAACGACGCGUCGACGACAAGCCGCGACGAUUCUACCCGGCGUCUCUUUCGAUGCACAAAGAAACUCUCUUCGAGUUUCACUGCAAAUAUCGACCAUUUUAAUCAUCCUUGCUUAAUAAAAUCCCCAUCAUUCCACAA